CGCGAAACCUCUGCAAUAGGCGAAAGCUUGACAGGGUUUCUCUGAGUGAUUCCCGCUAAGGGGAUCUUUUGGCAUCUCUAAAAAUGGUGCAGAAUAAGGGGUGGGCAAGUCUGGUGUCAGCCGCCGCGGUAAUACCAGCACCCCGAGUGGUCGGGACGAUUAUUGGGCCUAAAGCAUCCGUAGCCGGUCUUGCAAGUCCUCCGUUAAAUCCAGCUGCUUAACAGAUGGGCUGCGGAGGAUACUACAAGGCUAGGAGGCGGGAGAGGCAAGCGGUACUCAGUGGGUAGGGGUAAAAUCCUGUGAUCCAUUGAAGACCACCAGUGGCGAAGGCGGCUUGCCAGAACGCGCUCGACGGUGAGGGAUGAAAGCUGGGGGAGCAAACCGGAUUAGAUACCCGGGUAGUCCCAGCUGUAAACGAUGCAGACUCGGUGAUGGGCCGGCUUUAUGCCAGCUCAGUGCCGCAGGGAAGCCGUUAAGUCUGCCGCCUGGGGAGUACGGUCGCAAGACUGAAACUUAA
rnacentral:rRNA from 1 species